rnacentral:rRNA from 1 species
AACUUCUGGUAUGGUGCGCCUGGCCUGCAGCCGAAAGGUUCGCAUGUGUUGGUGUGCGUCUGCCAUCUUUAUGGGGGAGCCGCUCUUUACUGGGCGGAAGAACCAUAUCUUUUACUUUGAAAAAAUUAGAGUGUUUAAAGCAGGCUUGUGCUAUGAAUACAUUAGCAUGGAAUAAUAAUUUAGGACUUUGUUCCUAUUUUGUUGGUUUCUAGGAAUGGAGUAAUGAUUGAUAGGGAUAGUUGGGGGUGCUAGUAUUCAUCGGCCAGAGGUGAAAUUCUUGGAUUCGAUGAAGACUAACUUAUGCGAAAGCAUU